rnacentral:rRNA from 1 species
CAGCAGCCGCGGGAAUACGGAGGGUGCAAGCGUUAAUCGGAAUUACUGGGCGUAAAGCGUGCGUAGGCGGCUUCUUAAGUCGGAUGUGAAAUCCCUGAGCUUAACUUAGGAAUUGCAUUCGAUACUGGGAAGCUAGAGUAUGGGAGAGGAUGGUAGAAUUCCAGGUGUAGCGGUGAAAUGCGUAGAGAUCUGGAGGAAUACCGAUGGCGAAGGCAGCCAUCUGGCCUAAUACUGACGCUGAGGUACGAAAGCAUGGGGAGCAAACAGGAUUAGAUACCCCAGUAGUCCCUGUCUCUUAUAC